ensembl:snRNA U6 U6 spliceosomal RNA
GCGGUCGUUUCGGCAGCACAUACACUAAAAUUGGAACGAUGCAGAGAAGAUUAGCAUGGUCCCCUGCACAAGGAGGGACAUGACUUAGGGCACUUGAACGUGCUUUC